rnacentral:rRNA from 1 species
UAGUCCACGCCGUAAACGAUGUCAACUAGCCGUUGGGAGGGUUACCUCUUAGUGGCGCAGCUAACGCGGUAAGUUGACCGCCUGGGGAGUACGGUCGCAGGGUUAAAACUCAAAUGAAUUGACGGGGGCCCGCACAAGCGGUGGAGCAUGUGGUUUAAUUCGAUGCAACGCGAAGAACCUUACCUACUCUUGACAUCUACAGAAGCCAGCGGAGACGCAGGUGUGCCUUCGGGAACUGUAAGACAGGUGCUGCAUGGCUGUCGUCAGCUCGUGUUGUGAAAUGUUGGGUUAAGUCCCGCAACGAGCGCAACCCUUAUCCUUGUUUGCCAGCACGUAAUGGUGGGAACUCCAGGGAGACUGCCGGUGAUAAACCGGAGGAAGGUAAGGAUGACGUCAAGUCAGCAUGCCCCUUAUGCUCUGGGCUACACACGUGCUACAAUGGCCGUGACAAAGAGUUGCUACUUUGUGAAAACAAGCUAAUCUCAUAAACGCGGCCUCAGUUCGGAUUGC